rnacentral:rRNA from 1 species
UACGGAGGGUGCAAGCGUUAUCCGGAUUCACUGGGUUUAAAGGGUGCGUAGGUGGAUUUAUAAGUCAGUGGUGAAAGCCCCGAGCUCAACUUGGGAAUUGCCAUUGAUACUGUAGAUCUUGAGUGCGGUUGAGGUAGGCGGAAUAUAUCAUGUAGCGGUGAAAUGCAUAGAUAUGACUUAGAACACCGAUUGCGAAGGCAGCUAACUAAACAGAUAUUGACGCUGAGGCACGAAAGCGUGGGGAUCAAACAGG